rnacentral:rRNA from 1 species
GAGGGUGACAGGUGGUGCAUGGUUGUCGUCAGCUCGUGUCGUGAGAUGUUGGGUUAAGUCCCGCAACGAGCGCAACCUCGACCUUAGUUGCCAGCAUUCAGUUGGGCACUCUAAGGUGACUGCCGGCUAAAAGUCGGAGGAAGGUGGGGAUGACGUCAAAUCAUCAUGCCCCUUAUGACCUGGGCUACACACGUGCUACAAUGGGCGGUACAAAGGGUCGCGAACCCGCGAGGGGGAGCCAAUCCCAAAAAGCCGCUCUCAGUUCGGAUUGCAGGCUGCAACUCGCCUGCAUGAAGCCGGAAUCGCUAGUAAUCGCGGAUCAGCAUGCCGCGGUGAAUACGUUCCCGGGCCUU